rnacentral:rRNA from 1 species
UAGCCGUAAACGAUACUCGCUAGGUGUCGGCCACGGUGCGACCGUUGUCGGUGCCGUAGGGAAGCCGUGAAGCGAGCCACCUGGGAAGUACGGCCGCAAGGCUGAAACUUAAAGGAAUUGGCGGGGGAGCACCACAACGGGUGGAGCUUGCGGUUUAAUUUGGAUUCAACGCCGGAAAUACUUACCGGGACCGGACAGCAACAUGAAGGCCAGGCUGAAGACUUUGCCGGAUUAGCUGAGAGGAGGUGCAUGGCGUAGUCGUGU